ensembl:lncRNA
UAGUUUCUUUUUUUCUUUUUUUAUUUCAAAAUAAAUACCAAACAAGCCUAAAAUAUAUCACCACAUUUUCAAAUGUAUAGUAUAUUUCUCUAAUACACAAGCACUUUAGCAGGUUGGAUACAAGCAUUGCUUUGAUUCAAAGAUCUUUGGAAAGUAAAAUGAGAUGACACAAAUAUCCAAGAAAAUAGCCAAACCGAAAGUAGAGAAGUCCAGGUUGGGUUCAUGAAUACAUGGACGUAAGGUAGGACUGUACAAAAGAGGGACAUUCUCCCCUGAGAAAGUAAAACAUAUACAUCACUAAAGAGAAUUGAACAUAUCAUGGCAAAAAUAUGAAAAGAAAGAUACUGCAAGCAUGGUCAAUGCAAUCGUCUUAAAAUUUUAAAGAAACCCUCUCAAACCUGUUACACAAACGUGUAAUAUGAAAGGCAAAGUAACAAACAAUGACAGUAAUUGACUCCAAAGUUGACACUUUUGGACUAGAUUAUAAUUUAGCUUUCUAAGUAAUACAACACAUAUAUAGCUAUUUUAUGUCAGCUUCUGUGAUACAGAGGAGACAGACACCAAUUAUCUAGAAGCUGCAACAUGACACUUGACACUUUAAAGAGAAUUUAUUGCUGGCCUUAUUCAUCAACGACAUUCUGAUUUCUAGAAUUUUACCUCAUCUUCCUGCGGCACUAGUGAUUUGUGAUAACAGAUUGUAAAAGAACAAAUUGUAAGCAUUUAUUAUUGUAAGCAUUAUCAAACAUCAGCCAGGUCUUUUUAUUUCAAGCCAAAUACGACUGUUCUGUCACAUGAUGACAAUAGAAGCCCUUGACUGCUGCCAGCGGCGACACCAAACCUCGUCCUUCAAGGAUGUGCUCUGAUGUGUGCGUGUGUGUGUGUGUGUGUGUGUGUGUGUGUGUGUGUGUAUGUGUGUGUGUGUGUGUCGGUGCCGUCCUUCAAGGAUGUGCUCUGUUGCUAAAGCGUGUCUUCGACAAUGUGACAUUGUGUCUGGUGUCCCUCACUUUCUAGUCUCUCAUUAUAUUAUCAAAGUUAAUGGGCUGUGACUUUUUAAUUUCCAAAACGUGAAUUACAAAGGUGUACCUAAAAUUGCCUAAAUGUUAAGUGUGCGUUAAGUGAUUUUUUAAAAAGUUUCAUGAAGAAGGUUAGAAUUUCUGCAACCAGUCCACCAAAAUUACAAAACACACAACAUCAGUAUCUCAAUGGCACAGCAAAGAACAUGUAAUAUGUGAGGACACUGCUAGAUUUAUACGUCGGUGUAUCUUUACUGAGCACAGACCCUAGACCGGCUUACUCAUGCGUGCCGUCUCUAUAAUUGUUGUAGGAGGAACACCAUCUCAUGAUUGUCAUCGUGAAGUAAACCUUUUGUAGGUUAAGUGUGAACUGUGCUGUUUGUAAUAAAAUCGGUUUGAUGUCAACAAAUGUUAGGGAUUGAGUUCACAGCCUUAGGUUAAAUAUACAUUUACAUUUUAAUUUUUUUUUUAAUCCACAAAUCCCAAUAUCAUUUUAUUAGUAGAACCCGUGCAGACUUUUCUAUGACAAGGCUAUGGCUGAACAGAAUGAAUUGUAUUAGACUUCUUGGCCUUGAAGUGAAGUGACCUUUUGGACAGAAUCACUUUCAGGCAACACCCUUCAGUUUUAGAUCACAUUGUAAAUUCUACAACCCAUGUGUGCAUUACAGGUGGGCACAGUGAAAGCUCUCACAGGGACAUAAUCAGACUUGGUGACCUGCUUAGACGAGUACACUGGCUAGUAGUGGAAAUACACUAACAGUUCUGAAACUCAAAACUCCUGCACACAUCGGCAUAUUGGCAUAUUAAGCUCAGAUGGGAGGAAUAGGUAGGAGAACCAUUGCUGCCACUACACCCUGGGUGACUUCCUAUUUCAAUAUGUCUGCCAAAGCUAAAUUUAAGACUGUGAAUGUUGGCACCUCACCAAUCCUGUUUUCCCCUGCAGCACUAGAACAGGCUAUGCUGCCUACUGGUGUGAAAUGCAUCUGAUCUCCCCGCGGGUUUGGAAUCUGAAUUAAGCUCUUUGUGCCAAACUCAUUUUAAUACGGUGUUUCUCAAAGACCAUGGCCUUCUCAUCUGUUUAAAACGAAGGAGAAAUGCACUGUAUAAAUGACAAUUGGCACAUCAGUGGCAACAUCAGUGAUGGAGAAUGCUAAACAUUUGGCAACCCAGUGUUAGCAGCAGUAGCAGCAGAAUUGUUUAAUGGUGGUUAAAUGGUAAAACAUUUAGUGUUAUUCUUUAAGAUUCCUUUUGGCUACCCAUAAACCUGCAUUAGCCUAAUAACAAACUAAAUUAGCUCACCAUAGACAUUUUAGAUGAUCAGCUUCAUCUCAGGUUUGGUGAGGGGGGGGGGGGGGGGGGGGGGGGUUACUCCUUCAACAGCUACUGUUCAAUAGUUUCUCCGUCAGAGCCGAGUAUCACACUGUGCCACUGUGCUGGAACUGGACCGUGGGACCGGACCUAGAACUGGACCGUGGGACUGGAC